GACGAACGCUGGCGGCGUGCUUAACACAUGCAAGUCGAACGGAAAGGCCCUGCUUUUGUUGGGUGCUCGAGUGGCGAACGGGUGAGUAACACGUGAGUAACCUGCCCUUGACUUUGGGAUAACUUCAGGAAACUGGGGCUAAUACCGGAUAGGAGCUCCUGCUGCAUGGGGGGGGUUGGAAAGAUUCGGCGGUUGGGGAUGGACUCGCGGCUUAUCAGCUUGUUGGUGAGGUAGUGGCUUACCAAGGCUUUGACGGGUAGCCGGCCUGAGAGGGUGACCGGCCACAUUGGGACUGAGAUACGGCCCAGACUCCUACGGGAGGCAGCAGUGGGGAAUAUUGCACAAUGGGCGGAAGCCUGAUGCAGCAACGCCGCGUGCGGGAUGACGGCCUUCGGGUUGUAAACCGCUUUCGCCGGUGACGAAGCGUGAGUGACGGUAAUGGGUAAAGAAGCACCGGCUAACUACGUG
rnacentral:rRNA from 1 species